rnacentral:rRNA from 1 species
CUACGGGUGGCACCAGUGAGGAAUAUUGCACAAUGGGGGGAACCCUGAUGCAGCAACGCCGCGUGGAGGAUGACACAUUUCGGUGUGUAAACUCCUUUUAUAUGUCAAGAAAAUGACGGUAGCAUAUGAAUAAGCACCGGCUAACUCCGUGCCAGCAGCCGCGGUAAUACGGAGGGUGCAAGCGUUACUCGGAAUCACUGGGCGUAAAGGACGCGUAGGCGGGUUGGAAAGUCAGGUGUGAAAUCCUACAGCUUAACUGUAGAACUGCACUUGAAACUUCUAAUCUAGAGUAUGGGAGGGGGAGAUGGAAUUAGUGGUGUAGGGGUAAUAUCCGUAGAUAUCACUAGGAAUACCUAAAGCGAAGGCGAUCUCCUGGAACAUUACUGACGCUAAGGCGUGAAAGCGUGGGGAGCAAACAGGAUUAGAUACCCGGGUAGUC